AGAUGAUAUCGCUAAGUUGUGGAUAGUUAGGUAUUCUGGAAUAUGAUUGGUUGUGUUAAUUUGCGAUUAAUACUAGGAACCUUGUGUUAUUUUUACCGGGUUUAGUAAUAAUCAUAUAUUAGCCGACAGCAUUUGUGUAACCCACAUUGCUAGGCAUAUUGGGGUGAGUUAGUGUUCCUUCAGGCCUCGUACCCGGCGGGUUCAAGGAAACCCCUUAUUCAAUAAUCAUAUAUUAGCCGACAGCAUUUGUGUAACCCACAUUGCUAGGCAUAUUGGGGUGAGU
rnacentral:lncRNA from 1 species